rnacentral:rRNA from 1 species
GCAUCGUAGUCUGAGGCCCCGAAACUAGACGAGCUACUCCGAAGCAGCCUUUAGGGCCAACCCGUCUCUGUUGCAAAAGAGUGGGAAGACUUCCGAGUAGGGGUGAAAAGCCUACCGAGUCUAGUUAUAGCUGGUUGCUUAAGAAAAGAAUAUGAGUUCAGCCUUAUAAAUUUCUUACAUCAAAAAUAAAGAACAAAGCAAUCUAUAAGAGUUAGUCGAAGGAGGUACAGCUCAUUCGAAAAAGAAUACAACCUUAUCAGGUGAAUAAAGAUUAUAUUUUAAAAGGAUACAACUCUCCACAGUGGGCCUGAAAGCAGCCACCUAUAAAGAAAGCGUUAAAGCUCAAGAAAAGUUAGACCAAAAAUAAAAAUAUACUUCUCCUAUUUCCCUAAUAUUAUUAAGCAGUCCUAUUUUUUAGGAGUAAUUAUGCUAAAAUUAGUAAUAAGAGGAAUAGACCCUCUCCCGCGGCACACGUGUAAAUCAGAACGGACAAAACACUGAUAACCAGCGGACCCAAAUAGAGGGAAAAACAACAAAAUUUAAUAAACAAGAAAAAUCUGUUUUUUAUACCGUUAAACCUACACUGGAGUGCCAACAAGGAAAGACUAAAAGAAGGGGAAGGAAUUCGGCAAACAUAAACCUCGCCUGUUUACCAAAAACAUCGCCUUCUGCUAAGACAUGAAUAGAAGGUCCUGCCUGCCCAGUGACAACUAGUUCAACGGCCGCGGUAUCCUGACCGUGCAAAGGUAGCGUAAUCACCUGUCUUUUAAAUAAAGACCUGUAUGAAUGGCAAGACGAGGGUUUUACUGUCUCCCCCCUCUAGUCAAUGAAAUUGAUCUACCCGUGCAGAAGCGGGCAUAAAUACAUAAGACGAGAAGACCCUAUGGAGCUUUAGGUAACAAAUCAAAUAUGUAAAAACCCAAUAACCUUCUAAAGACAAAAAAAUGAAUAUAAACAAGUAUUAAUGAUUUUAAUACCUUCGGUUGGGGCGACCAUGGGGAAAAACAAAACCCCCACACGGAAUUGGAAAAUAUUUCCAUAAACUAAGAAAAACAAUUCUAAGUAACAAAAUAUUUGACCAAACGACCCGGAAUAUUAUACUAUCCCGAUCAAUGAACCAAGUUACCCUAGGGAUAACAGCGCAAUCCUUUCCCAGAGCCCAUAUCUACGAAAGGGUUUACGACCUCGAUGUUGGAUCAGGACAUACCUAAUGGUGCAGCCGCUAUUAAGGGUUCG